rnacentral:rRNA from 1 species
UACGAAGGGGGGCUAGCGUUGCUCGGAAUCACUGGGCGUAAAGGGUGCGUAGGCGGGUUUUUAAGUCAGGGGUGAAAUCCUGGAGCUCAACUCCAGAACUGCCUUUGAUACUGAAGAUCUUGAGUUCGGGAGAGGUGAGUGGAACUGCGAGUGUAGAGGUGAAAUUCGUAGAUAUUCGCAAGAACACCAGUGGCGAAGGCGGCUCACUGGCCCGAUACUGACGCUGAGGCACGAAAGCGUGGGGGAGCAAACAGG